AUGGGGAUGAGGCGCCGGAUCCGGGUGUGGCCCGGGUUGGGCGUGGCGCUCCGGAGACCCCUGGGGAUGCAGAAACAAAGAGUCUGUGCCCAGUCCAAGUUAGCAGGUGUUUAUUGUGAUUAUUAUUUACAUUUAUAUCAUCUUUGGGCUGCUGUGACCCUACUGGAGUCUGGGGGGGACCUCCAACCCCCCGGGGGGUCCCUGACUCUGCUCUGCCGCGCCUCCGGGUUCAGUUUUGAGAGUUUUGACAUGUACUGGGUCCGGCAAAGACCUGGGAAGGCGCUGGAAUUCGUCACAAGGAUCAACGACGAUGGUGACAGCACCGGUUACGCGCCGUUGGUCAAGGACCGGUUCACGAUCUCCAGGGACAACGGGCAGAGCUCGGUGACGCUGACCAUGAACAACCUCAAGGACGAGGAUUCCGCCGUUUAUUUCUGCGCCAGGAUCCAGGGCCGAUUGCUGAGGUUUGGGGGGCAGAGCUCAAAGCUUUGGAGGAACGGCCAAGAGUUGGAAAUUGGCACUGGAAUCCUCAGUCUGGAGAUCCAGACCCGGCCCUGCACCGACCCAGAGCCAAUCACGGUCAGGGCGUGGGGCUGA